rnacentral:rRNA from 1 species
AAGCGCUUGCAGCCAGACGUGCCUGUAGUUGCUCAUCCGGGCUCUUGCCCGGUGCACUCUUCUGCAGGCAGGCCAGCAUCAGUUUGGGCGGCUGGAUAAAGACCUCUGUCACGUACCUCUCUUCGGGGAGGCCUUAUAGGGGAGGUGUCAUGCAGCCAGCCCGGACUGAGGUCCGCGCAUCUGCUAGGAUGCUGGCGUAAUGGCUGUAAGCGG